GUUGAAGGUGGCCUGUGAGGGUUGCUGGAGGUAUCAGAAGUGCGAAUGCUGACAUAAGUAACGAUAAAGCGGGUGAAAAGCCCGCUCGCCGGAAGACCAAGGGUUCCUGUCCAACGUUAAUCGGGGCAGGGUGAGUCGACCCCUAAGGCGAGGCCGAAAGGCGUAGUCGAUGGGAAACGGGUUAAUAUUCCCGUACUUGGUGUUACUGCGAAGGGGGGACGGAGAAGGCUAUGUUGGCCGGGCGACGGUUGUCCCGGUUUAAGCGUGUAGGUGUGUGUUCCAGGUAAAUCCGGUUCACUUUAACACUGAGGCGUGACGACGAGGCACUACGGUGCUGAAGCAACAAAUGCCCUGCUUCCAGGAAAAGCCUCUAAGCAUCAGGUAACAUCAAAUCGUACCCCAAACCGACACAGGUGGUCAGGUAGAGAAUACCAAGGCGCUUGAGAGAACUCGGGUGAAGGAACUAGGCAAAAUGGUGCCGUAACUUCGGGAGAAGGCACGCUGACACGUAGGUGAAGUGAUUUACUCAUGGAGCUGAAGUCAGUCGAAGAUACCAGCUGGCUGCAACUGUUUAUUAAAAACACAGCACUGUGCAAACACGAAAGUGGACGUAUACGGUGUGACGCCUGCCCGGUGCCGGAAGGUUAAUUGAUGGGGUCAGCGCAAGCGAAGCUCCUGAUCGAAGCCCCGGUAAACGGCGGCCGUAACUAUAACGGUCCUAAGGUAGCGAAAUUCCUUGUCGGGUAAGUUCCGACCUGCACGAAUGGCGUAAUGAUGGCCAGGCUGUCUCCACCCGAGACUCAGUGAAAUUGAACUCGCUGUGAAGAUGCAGUGUACCCGCGGCAAGACGGAAAGACCCCGUGAACCUUUACUAUAGCUUGACACUGAACAUUGAGCCUUGAUGUGUAGGAUAGGUGGGAGGCUUUGAAGCGUGGACGCCAGUCUGCGUGGAGCCGACCUUGAAAUACCACCCUUUAAUGUUUGAUGUUCUAACGUGGACCCGUGAUCCGGGUUGCGGACAGUGUCUGGUGGGUAGUUUGACUGGGGCGGUCUCCUCCUAAAGAGUAACGGAGGAGCACGAAGGUUGGCUAAUCCUGGUCGGACAUCAGGAGGUUAGUGCAAUGGCAUAAGCCAGCUUGACUGCGAGCGUGACGGCGCGAGCAGGUGCGAAAGCAGGUCAUAGUGAUCCGGUGGUUCUGAAUGGAAGGGCCAUCGCUCAACGGAUAAAAGGUACUCCGGGGAUAACAGGCUGAUACCGCCCAAGAGUUCAUAUCGACGGCGGUGUUUGGCACCUCGAUGUCGGCUCAUCACAUCCUGGGGCUGAAGUAGGUCCCAAGGGUAUGGCUGUUCGCCAUUUAAAGUGGUACGCGAGCUGGGUUUAGAACGUCGUGAGACAGUUCGGUCCCUAUCUGCCGUGGGCGCUGGAGAACUGAGGGGGGCUGCUCCUAGUACGAGAGGACCGGAGUGGACGCAUCACUGGUGUUCGGGUUGUCAUGCCAAUGGCACUGCCCGGUAGCUAAAUGCGGAAGAGAUAAGUGCUGAAAGCAUCUAAGCACGAAACUUGCCCCGAGAUGAGUUCUCCCUGAGACUUUAGGUCUCCUGAAGGAACGUUGAAGACGACGACGUUGAUAGGCCGGGUGUGUAAGCGCAGCGAUGCGUUGAGCUAACCGGUACUAAUGAACCGUGAGGCUUAACCUU
rnacentral:rRNA from 1 species